rnacentral:rRNA from 1 species
UUAUGCGUUGUUGGGUAGGGGAGCGUUCUGUAAGCCUGCGAAGGUGGCCUGUGAGGGUUGCUGGAGGUAUCAGAAGUGCGAAUGCUGACAUAAGUAACGAUAAAGCGGGUGAAAAGCCCGCUCGCCGGAAGACCAAGGGUUCCUGUCCAACGUUAAUCGGGGCAGGGUGAGUCGACCCCUAAGGCGAGGCCGAAAGGCGUAGUCGAUGGGAAACAGGUUAAUAUUCCUGUACUUGGUGUUACUGCGAAGGGGGGACGGAGAAGGCUAUGUUGGCCGGGCGACGGUUGUCCCGGUUUAAGCGUGUAGGUGUGUGUUCCAGGUAAAUCCGGUUCACUUUAACACUGAGGCGUGACGACGAGGCACUACGGUGCUGAAGCAACAAAUGCCCUGCUUCCAGGAAAAGCCUCUAAGCAUCAGGUAACAUCAAAUCGUACCCCAAACCGACACAGGUGGUCAGGUAGAGAAUACCAAGGCGCUUGAGAGAACUCGGGUGAAGGAACUAGGCAAAAUGGUGCCGUAACUUCGGGAGAAGGCACGCUGACACGUAGGUGAAGUGAUUUACUCACGGAGCUGAAGUCAGUCGAAGAUACCAGCUGGCUGCAACUGUUUAUUAAAAACACAGCACUGUGCAAACACGAAAGUGGACGUAUACGGUGUGACGCCUGCCCGGUGCCGGAAGGUUAAUUGAUGGGGUCAGCGCAAGCGAAGCUCCUGAUCGAAGCCCCGGUAAACGGCGGCCGUAACUAUAACGGUCCUAAGGUAGCGAAAUUCCUUGUCGGGUAAGUUCCGACCUGCACGAAUGGCGUAAUGAUGGCCAGGCUGUCUCCACCCGAGACUCAGUGAAAUUGAACUCGCUGUGAAGAUGCAGUGUACCCGCGGCAAGACGGAAAGACCCCGUGAACCUUUACUAUAGCUUGACACUGAACAUUGAGCCUUGAUGUGUAGGAUAGGUGGGAGGCUUUGAAGUGUGGACGCCAGUCUGCAUGGAGCCGACCUUGAAAUACCACCCUUUAAUGUUUGAUGUUCUAACGUGGACCCGUUACCCGGGUUGCGGACAGUGUCUGGUGGGUAGUUUGACUGGGGCGGUCUCCUCCUAAAGAGUAACGGAGGAGCACGAAGGUUGGCUAAUCCUGGUCGGACAUCAGGAGGUUAGUGCAAUGGCAUAAGCCAGCUUGACUGCGAGCGUGACGGCGCGAGCAGGUGCGAAAGCAGGUCAUAGUGAUCCGGUGGUUCUGAAUGGAAGGGCCAUCGCUCAACGGAUAAAAGGUACUCCGGGGAUAACAGGCUGAUACCGCCCAAGAGUUCAUAUCGACGGCGGUGUUUGGCACCUCGAUGUCGGCUCAUCACAUCCUGGGGCUGAAGUAGGUCCCAAGGGUAUGGCUGUUCGCCAUUUAAAGUGGUACGCGAGCUGGGUUUAGAACGUCGUGAGACAGUUCGGUCCCUAUCUGCCGUGGGCGCUGGAGAACUGAGGGGGGCUGCUCCUAGUACGAGAGGACCGGAGUGGACGCAUCACUGGUGUUCGGGUUGUCAUGCCAAUGGCACUGCCCGGUAGCUAAAUGCGGAAGAGAUAAGUGCUGAAAGCAUCUAAGCACGAAACUUGCCCCGA